CGUUUGUUUAUGUGUUACAUAUUUGUUUUUCGUUCUUUUUUUAUAUAUAAAUAAGGCCAUUAGUUUUCUCGUUUGAAUUUUUUUACAUUGUCUUAUCGGGGCCUAGUAUAGCUGACUAUGCGGUAUGGGCUUUGCUCAUUGUUGAAGGCCGUACGGUGACCUAUAGUUGUUAAUGUCUGUGUCAUUUUUGUCUUUGGUGGAUAGUUGUCUCAUUGUCAAUAAUACCACAUCUUCUGUUUUAUAUUCAAAAAC
rnacentral:lncRNA from 1 species